AGAUGAGCAAUCUUGACUUUUGAAGGGUGGCAACUACCUUGUAGAAUCCAGUGAAAACUCAGAACCUUCCUCCCUGAAAAAUGUGUUGAAAAGUCUCCUCUAGAGCUUUGGAAGGCUGAAUGCACUAAACAUGAAGAGCUUGAAAGCGAAGUUCAGGAAGAGUGACACCAAUGAGUGGAACAAGAAUGAUGACCGGCUACUGCAGGCCGUGGAGAAUGGAGAUGCGGAGAAGGUGGCCUCACUGCUCGGCAAGAAGGGGGCCAGUGCCACCAAACACGACAGUGAGGGCAAGACCGCGUAAGCUGAAACACUGUUUCCAUCUUGCUGCUGCAAAAGGACACGUGGAAUGCCUCAGGGUCAUGAUUACACAUGGUGUGGAUGUGACAGCCCAAGAUACUACCGGACACAGCGCCUUACAUCUCGCAGCCAAGAACAGCCACCAUGAAUGCAUCAGGAAGCUGCUUCAGUCUAAAUGCCCAGCCGAAAGUGUCGACAGCUCUGGGAAAACAGCUUUACAUUAUGCAGCGGCUCAGGGCUGCCUUCAAGCUGUGCAGAUUCUCUG
rnacentral:lncRNA from 1 species